AGAGUUUGAUCCUGGCUCAGGACUAACGCUGGCGGCACGCCUAACACAUGCAAGUCGCACGAGAAACUUCGUAGCAAUACGGGGCGGUAAAGUGGCGAACGGGUGAGUAAUGCAUGGGUGACCUGUCCUCAAGAUGGGAAUAACCUCGCGAAAGCGGGGCUAAUACCCAAUGCCAUUCCGGUUUUACGGAAUCGGGAUGAAAGAUAGCUGUUACAGGCUUUCACUUGAGGAGGGGCCCAUGUCCCAUCAGCUUGUUGGUAGGGUAACGGCCUACCAAGGCUAUGACGGGUAGCUGGUCUGAGAGGACGACCAGCCACACUGGCACUGAGACACGGGCCAGACUCCUACGGGAGGCAGCAGUGAGGAAUCUUGCGCAAUGGACGAAAGUCUGACGCAGCGAUGCCGCGUGGGGGAUGAAGGCCUUCGGGUUGUAAACCCCUUUUAGUGGGAAAGAAACACCCGGAUGUUAACAGCGUCCGGGCUUGACGGUACCCACAGAAUAAGCCGCGGCUAACUCUGUGCCAGCAGCCGCGGUAAGACAGAGGUGGCAAGCGUUGUCCGGAAUUACUGGGCGUAAAGCGCGCGUAGGUGGCUAGAUAAGUCCGGUGUGAAAUCCUUCGGCUUAACCGGGGAAUGGCAUCGGGGACUGUUUAGCUAGAGGACGGGAGAGGAGAGCGGAAUUCCCGGUGUAGCGGUGAAAUGCGUAGAGAUCGGGAGGAAGGCCGGUGGCGAAGGCGGCUCUCUGGAACGUCCCUGACGCUGAGGCGCGAAAGCGUGGGGACAACAGGAUUAGAUACCCUAGUAGUCC
rnacentral:rRNA from 1 species